rnacentral:rRNA from 1 species
UUGAACGCUGGCGGCAGGCCUAACACAUGCAAGUCGAACGGUAACAGGAAACAGCUUGCUGUUUCGCUGACGAGUGGCGGACGGGUGAGUAAUGUCUGGGAAACUGCCUGAUGGAGGGGGAUAACUACUGGAAACGGUAGCUAAUACCGCAUAACGUCGCAAGACCAAAGAGGGGGACCUUCGGGCCUCUUGCCAUCGGAUGUGCCCAGAUGGGAUUAGCUUGUUGGUGGGGUAACGGCUCACCAAGGCGACGAUCCCUAGCUGGUCUGAGAGGAUGACCAGCCACACUGGAACUGAGACACGGUCCAGACUCCUACGGGAGGCAGCAGUGGGGAAUAUUGCACAAUGGGCGCAAGCCUGAUGCAGCCAUGCCGCGUGUAUGAAGAAGGCCUUCGGGUUGUAAAGUACUUUCAGCGGGGAGGAAGGGAGUAAAGUUAAUACCUUUGCUCAUUGACGUUACCCGCAGAAGAAGCACCGGCUAACUCCGUGCCAGCAGCCGCGGUAAUACGGAGGGUGCAAGCGUUAAUCGGAAUUACUGGGCGUAAAGCGCACGCAGGCGGUUUGUUAAGGCAGAUGUGAAAUCCCCGGGCUCAACCUGGGAACUGCAUCUGAUACUGGCAAGCUUGAGUCUCGUAGAGGGGGGUAGAAUUCCAGGUGUAGCGGUGAAAUGCGUAGAGAUCUGGAGGAAUACCGGUGGCGAAGGCGGCCCCCUGGACGAAGACUGACGCUCAGGUGCGAAAGCGUGGGGAGCAAACAGGAUUAGAUACCCUGGUAGUCCACGCCGUAAACGAUGUCGACUUGGAGGUUGUGCCCUUGAGGCGUGGCUUCCGGAGCUAACGCGUUAAGUCGACCGCCUGGGGAGUACGGCCGCAAGGUUAAAACUCAAAUGAAUUGACGGGGGCCCGCACAAGCGGUGGAGCAUGUGGUUUAAUUCGAUGCAACGCGAAGAACCUUACCUGGUCUUGACAUCCACGGAAGUUUUCAGAGAUGAGAAUGUGCCUUCGGGAACCGUGAGACAGGUGCUGCAUGGCUGUCGUCAGCUCGUGUUGUGAAAUGUUGGGUUAAGUCCCGCAACGAGCGCAACCCUUAUCCUUUGUUGCCAGCGGUCCGGCCGGGAACUCAAAGGAGACUGCCAGUGAUAAACUGGAGGAAGGUGGGGAUGACGUCAAGUCAUCAUGGCCCUUACGACCAGGGCUACACACGUGCUACAAUGGCGCAUACAAAGAGAAGCGACCUCGCGAGAGCAAGCGGACCUCAUAAAGUGCGUCGUAGUCCGGAUUGGAGUCUGCAACUCGACUCCAUGAAGUCGGAAUCGCUAGUAAUCGUGGAUCAGAAUGCCACGGUGAAUACGUUCCCGGGCCUUGUACACACCGCCCGUCACACCAUGGGAGUGGGUUGCAAAAGAAGUAGGUAGCUUAACCUUCGGGAGGGCGCUUACCACUUUGUGAUUCAUGACUGGGGUG